GGAUGUGAGGGCGAUCUGGCUGCGACAUAUGUCACCCCAUUGAUCGCCAGGGUUGAUUCGGCUGAUCUGGCUGGCUAGGCGGGUGUCCCCUUCCUCCCUCACCGCUCUAUGUGCGUCCCUCCCGAAGCUGCGUGCUCGGUCGAAGAGGACGACCAUCCCCGAUAGAGGAGGACUGUUCUUCGGUCAAGGGUAUACGAGUAGCUGCGCUCCCCUGCUAGAACCUCCAAACAAGCUCUCAAAGUACAGGCUGCUCCAUAAGGUAGUGAGCUCCCUGUCACUAAAUGUAUACAAGGAAAAUGUUGGUCU
rnacentral:snRNA from 1 species